AUUGAACGCUGGCGGCAUGCCUUACACAUGCAAGUCGAACGGUAACAGGUCUUCGGAUGCUGACGAGUGGCGAACGGGUGAGUAAUACAUCGGAACGUGCCCGAUCGUGGGGGAUAACGGAGCGAAAGCUUUGCUAAUACCGCAUACGAUCUACGGAUGAAAGCAGGGGACCGCAAGGCCUUGCGCGGACGGAGCGGCCGAUGGCAGAUUAGGUAGUUGGUGGGACAAAAGCUUACCAAGCCGACGAUCUGUAGCUGGUCUGAGAGGACGACCAGCCACACUGGGACUGGGACACGGCCCAGACUCCUACGGGAGGCAGCAGUGGGGAAUUUUGGACAAUGGGCGCAAGCCUGAUCCAGCCAUGCCGCGUGCAGGAUGAAGGCCUUCGGGUUGUAAACUGCUUUUGUACGGAACGAAAAGACUCUUUCUAAUAAAGAGGGUCCAUGACGGUACCGUAAGAAUAAGCACCGGCUAACUACGUGCCAGCAGCCGCAGUAAUAC
rnacentral:rRNA from 1 species